UGAAAGAGGAGAAUCCGACGGCUUUGGUGUAGGUGGAGAGGGGACUUUGUUUUAGAGUAAGGGUGUGAGGUUGAGGGAAGGAAAGGUAAUAAUUAAAAAAAAAAAAGAAGGAAAGAAAAACUAGAAACGAAAUAAUAAGACUGAUAAUGAGAGAAAAAAAAUUACAAAAAAAAGAAAAAAGAGAGAAUCACCGUAAACGAGCUCGACCGAACGUAGAUCAACGAGGAGAGGGCUCCGCCCAGCCGUGGCGACGCGCGAUACGUACGAAACGAUUUUAUUAUACGAUCGUACGACGUUGAGCAAGUACGACGAGAAAUAAAAGGAAAAAGAAAAAGAAAAAAAAGAAAAAAAAACCGACGACAACGACGACGAUGACGAUGUCGACGACGAGAUCGACGACGACGAGGACGAGGUUCACGAUGACGAGGACGAAGUCGUCGUCGUCGACGACGAUGAUGACGACGACAUCACGACUUAAGAUUUUAAUCCUGACGAUAACGAAAUAUGAGACGCAAAACCCAAACGAUACGUUCUUAUGGGGCAGCGCAUAAUGCGCGCAGAGUCCCGUCCGUCUCUGAACGAACGAACGGACGUAUACGCGCACCAGCGCGCACUAGCGAGCCCAGCACUGCUGACCAGAAGAGAGGAGGACUCCGUAAAAGCAGCAACUUCGUACCCAGACAACACUAAUCACUGCGUGCGGACGUAUGCCGGCCAUAUAGAUUCACCAAACUGCCCUACGAGCAACUACGGGAACUAUAUAGCAAGCAGGAAAUGUGAUGACGCAGCUUCAAUAGAGAGCAAAACAGGGAGCAACGGAAAUCGUGAAAAAAAAAAGAAAAGAAAAAGUACGAGACCAUCUUACCUAGCGUUGCUUCCGCGAAGAAUUAGCAUGAUUUCGAAGUAUAAUGAAUGAUUAAUCAUAACGAUAACGAAUAUGGGUCAUUACGUACAAGUUAAUAAUUACGUUACCUACCCGUUAUGUAUCGUACAGAAUGAUUAAUUACGAACGUAUAAGAUAUUGG